rnacentral:rRNA from 1 species
CACAAGGUUGACCUCGGAUCAGGUAGGAAUACCCGCUGAACUUAAGCAUAUCAAUAAGCGGAGGAAAAGAAACAACAGGGAUUGCCCUAGUAACGGCGAGUGAAGCGGCAACAGCUCAAAUUUGAAAUCUGGCUCCUUCGGGGUCCGAGUUGUAAUUUGCAGAGGAUGCUUCGGGUGCGGGUUCCUUCCGAGUUCCCUGGAACGGGACGCCAUAGAGGGUGAGAGCCCCGUCUGGUCGGAAACCCAGCCCAUGUGAAGCUCCCUCGACGAGUCGAGUAGUUUGGGAAUGCUGCUCUAACGGGAGGUAUACUCCUUCCAAAGCUAAAUACCGGCUGGAGACCGAUAGCGCACAAGUAGAGUGAUCGAAAGAUGAAAAGCACUUUGAAAAGAGAGUCAAAUAGCACGUGAAAUUGCUGAAAGGGAAGCGCUUGCUACCAGACUUGGGUUGGGCGGUUCAUCCGGCGCCACGCGCCGGUGCACUCCGCCUGCCCAGGCCAGCAUCAGCUUUCCGUCGGGGGCAAAGACGUCGGGAAUGUGGCUCCCCCUCGGGGGAGUGUUAUAGCCCGGCGUGUCAUACCCGGCGGGGGGCUGAGGUACGCGCUCCGCAAGGAUGCUGGCGUAAUGGUAGUUAGCGACCCGUCUUGAAACACGGACCAAGGAGUCAACCUUAUGUGCGAGUGCCCGGGCGUAAAACCCCAGCGCGUAAUGAAAGUGAACGUAGGUGAGAGCUUCGGCGCAUCACCGACCGAUCCUGAUGUCUUCGGACGGAUUUGAGUGUGAGCAUAUAGGGUUGGACCCGAAAGAAGAUGAACUAUGCGUGUGUAGGGUGAAGCCAGAGGAAACUCUGGUGGAGGCUCGCAGCGGUUCUGACGUGCAAAUCGAUCGUCAAACAUGCGCAUGGGGGCGAAAGACUAAUCGAAUCUUCUNGUAGCUG